AGUACAAUAACUGUAUUAUUUUCCACUACGAUACUUCGUUAAACAGAUAUAUUUCCAGAAACUAAAAGUCUUGUCUGAUAUCAGAUGAACCUCUCUUAUACUACAUAUCAAUUGCCAUUUCCAAUAUUCAUUCAUAAAAACCUGUAGGAGUCGGUUAACUAGUCAUCGUGGCGCAUGGGAUUGUGUGUGAUUAGCCAGCUAUAUAAAAGCGAUUCUAUACCUCACUCUUAAACAUUUAGGCAUGUGAAAUUGCAGCGAAAUCAUCUUCAGAAUUAAAACAAAUUACACAAAUCGGGAUUUUUGGACGACAACUUGGAAAACGCAAACUUCAUACUUAAAGGAAUAAAAAAUAACAAACAUAACAAUGAAACUGAAUGUGCAAAGCGUGCUUGUGUUCUUCCUGUCAGUAUGGAUGUUGACCUCAAUACUGCUAUCAAGGUCAACUGCUCAUGGGUUCUCAAUUCCUCACGUCAAAAGCCGUUCUGUUGAUGAAUGCCAAUACAGCUGCGGCACUGACGUGUACAAGUGUGACUUACGGUGCAAAUACUGGAAAGAACUUAGAGGCAUUGGACUUAAAAAAUGCCAGUCAAAUUGCGGAGAUUUGUUCUUAGACUGUUUUAUCUCGUGUUAUAACUUCUAGCAUAAAAAAAAAGUACAAAUUAUGUUCAGCAUUUGAAAAACAAAAAGAUCACGUUUAUAGGUCGCAGAUAAUCAUUAUACCAAUCAGAACAUGCAUAUCUAUUUUUGGACUCUUUUAUAACCGCACAUCAAAACGCGUAGAUCUGGACCUAGAUGUUUACGACAUAAAUACACCUUGCAGUUCAAGAAAGAACAUAUCUGAACAAGAGCGCAAAAACCAGGCACCAUGGACUGUUAACGAGCAAUUUCUCUGUCACGUCUAUUUUUGAUGUUCUUAUAUAAAACCCAUACAAUAGAUGAAACGUAGAUGAAAAAGUAACGAGUGGAGAACUAUAAAUAGCGGAGUUAUGGCCAUGUGGUAGGCCGAUGGCAACUAACUACUUAUUAACGGGCGGAAACACAGCGUUCUCGAUGACCCGCGGUUUUAUUACGAGGAGAGCUCAACCUACAGACAAAAAAUAAAACAGAGAAAGAUGUAAUAAAGGAAGGCAUAGGAAUUUGUAAUAUACAGAAAAGAAACACGAAAUCUGGACAAAAGUUAAACAAAAUUAUUUAUACUAAAAAUAGAUUACUAAAGCAAGCAUUGUCAAAUAUAUUAGUUAAUCUAUUACUCUAUUUUUUUUCUAACUUUUAAGAAAAUCAAAGGAAUGGUAAAUUGUUAGAUUUUUUUUAGAAGUUCGAGAUAGAUAUGUUUAUUGCUGAUGAUAUGUAUUAUAUGUUUUAGCUGCUAAUUGUAUAUAAAUGAGUCGCUGUAUAUAACGAAACUGCAGCUACAGUGAAGUAUAUUUAUUCCGUGUCAUUUGUUUGUAUAUAUUGCAAUGCCUAAAUGUGUAUGACCAUUUUUCGCAGGUACGAAAAUAUGUUGAUGUAUAAAUGAACUAUGGUAGUAGGACAAGUUUUUGGACGUGAAUUACAUGUGAUAAGUACAGUUCUUGUUUUGCAUUUCGAAUGUUUCCUGAAUGUGUUUAAAAUUUCGAAAGCUCGUAUCAAGGUCUGUGGUUUCCAGCCUUCAAGCUUCCAGAACACAGAUUACAAAUCAAUUUCUAUCGAUUUACGACCAAAAAGUUGUCAUAUUAUCACAUUUGAUGCGAGGAUACGUCAUUGUCGACGUUGAUCAUUUUACAUUUAUCUGUUAAAAGUUCAUAUUCACGAAUAGCCGUUGUCAAGGAUUCUUUUCCAGUAAUAAGAUAUUUUAACCGCAAGCAUAUUAUAGUUACUAAAGUAAUGAGAAUAGAUUAUAACAUACUGGUGCACACUUCUAUGGAAUUUGUUAUAGUUCGUGUAUACAAUAGUUUUUUAAGUCAUCGGUCAAUAUAUAUAUAACCGGCCUAUUUUUGCGUCGUAUAAUUUAAUACAAUGCCUAUUGAAUGACUUGCCGGUCACUAACCAGAGCUAUUCGCCCUCCAUUGUGGAAGGACCCAGUAGAAUGUACAUUUUGUAUUUGAACAACCUCGGGCAAUAGUUUUGACUAUUGACCGGCAAGACAUUCUGAAGAAUAUUUAUAUAUGAUGUUUAAAGAACAAAGUUCUGUAACAAACAAUAUUAAAUUGUUUCACCGGACUUUUCGUUAACAAAAUUGUGGACCUAUAGAUCGGUUAUUUGCACAAGGAUUCGUGUAAUAAUUUGUAUUGCCGGUUAUUGUAAUGCGAUAAAAUAGUUCAGUCUUUUUCUGGUAAAAGAUUGCUAUUUUCAAACCACACAGUUUGUCCUGCUAUAUAUGCAUAGUAGUUACCCUUUUAAACGUAUUUUGACUCUUUCCGAUUUUUAUUAUUCUUAGUAUUUCAUAAGGCAUUUCAAUAAUUGAUCUACUUUAUACGGACUUCGGGCAAUUUGUUUGACAGAUAAUUGACACUUCAUUCAAUAAAUGUUUUAUAACAUUGCUUAAAAAAUAAAUUCGUAAAUGUUUCUUUUUAGCCCAACAAAAUUUAGUUUCGAAUUAUAGACUGGUCAAUAGCGCAAACUAUUGCCCGACAUUUUCUACAAGGAGUCAUGCAAUAAAGUCCAUUGUGGUUUUCAGUUUUCACUUUUUAUAAACAAACGUUUAUAUAUCCAAUAUUUUCAUUUAUGAUUUUUUCCUGUGUUUAUUUUUGUCACCUGACUGAAUAUAAGAAUACUUGUUUUGUUAAUAAAACAGUCGAUAGAUUCAUUUGUUAAACGGUAGAAAACGAUCUUAUGUUAAGCAUAGCUGGGCCAGAUUGCAUUCCAAGAAUAAAAGUCACUUUGAAAUCA
rnacentral:lncRNA from 1 species